UGCAGAAUCCCGUGAACCAUCGAGUUUUUGAACGCAAGUUGCGCCCGAUGCCAUCUGGUUGAGGGCACGUCUGCCUGGGCGUCA
rnacentral:rRNA from 1 species